AAUUUGAUCAUGGCUCAGAGUCACGGUGGUAAUAGGCCUAACACAUGCAAGUCGAACGGCAGCACAGAGGAGCUUGCUCCUUGGGUGGCGAGUGGCGGACGGGUGAGGAAUACAUCGGAAUCUACUCUGUCGUGGGGGAUAACGUAGGGAAACUUACGCUAAUACCGCAUACGACCUACGGGUGAAAGCAGGGGGAUCUUCGGACCUUGCGCGAUUGAAUGAGCCGAUGUCGGAUUAGCUAGUUGGCGGGGUAAAGGCCCACCAAGGCGACGAUCCGUAGCUAGGUCUGAGAGGAUGAUCAGCCACACUGGAACUGAGACACGGUCCAGACUCCUACGGGAGGCAGCAGUGGGGAAUAUUGGACAAUGGGCGCAAGCCUGAUCCAGCCAUACCGCGUGGGUAGAAGAAGGCCUUCGGGUUGUAAAGCCCUUUUGUUGGGAAAGAAAUCCAGCUGGCUAAUACCCGGUUGGGAUGACGGCACCCAAAGAAUAAGCACCGGCUAACUUCGUGCCAGCAGCCGCGGUAAUACGAAGGGUAGCAAGCGUAUACUACGGAAUUACUGGGCGUAAAGCGUAGCGUAGG
rnacentral:rRNA from 1 species